GGCCAGGGCAGUGAUUUCUUUCUGCAUACGGUCGGCAAUACCGGGGUACAUGGUGGUACCGCCAGAGAGUACGUUGUUGGCGUACAGAUCCUUACGGAUGUCGACGUCGCACUUCAUGAUGGAGUUGUAGACGGUUUCGUGGAUACCGCAGGAUUCCAUACCCAGGAAGGAAGGUUGGAACAGGGCUUCUGGGCAACGGAACCUCUCGUUACCGAUGGUGAUCACCUGUCCAUCGGGCAACUCGUAGCUCUUCUCGAGGGAGGUGCUGGCAGCAGCGGUGGCCAUUUCCUGUUCGAAGUCCAGGGCGACAUAGCAAAGUUUCUCCUUGAUGUCGCGCACGAUUUCUCGCUCAGCCGUGGUCGUGAAGCUGUAACCUCUCUCGGUGAGGAUCUUCAUGAGGUAGUCGGUCAAAUCGCGA